UAUAUAUAUAUAUAUAUAUAUAUAUAUAUAUAUAUAUAUCAAACUUGCUCCACUUUGAAUUGGCCCCUGUGAACUUGCGCCUCCGGUGUCUUAUGAGUGCAUGACUUAGUUUAAAAAACUAAGUGAAGGAACUUGCGCUUGGUAAUGCACUGCCACUCUUCUCUCUCCUCAAGCUUGCGCCACUAACUGAAGUUGCGCCAGGAUGGAGUUGGCGCCUGUGUACACUCACUUGUGUUAUAGUGUAAGUUGCCUUGGUUUAAAUCUGAACCUAUAUAUACAAACUUGCCCUUGCAUUACUUCACGUAUACCACACAGGUGCAGCUUGCGCCAAGUAUUGCCACAUCCACACAGUGUAUGCAGUUGUCACUCUUCGUUAAGGGGAGUUGCGCCUUGCACAGUGUAUCCAUUGUUCUCACUCAUGGUUAAGACCUAACCAACUUGCCCCACAAUAUACACAUAACACAACAGCAAGUGGCGCUCCAGUAUUUCCUUCUCUGUGCAGCUUUGUAAGCUUCUUGCCUUAGUUUGAUACAAGAAUGCUACAACUUGCGCCUAUGUUCAAUGAUCAGCCAAGAGCUUUAGUGUGUACAUCUACCUUGGUCGAUUUCACAACACAGCAACGAACAGGCAUGCAUGGCUAGAGUAUUUAACCUAGACACGUGACAUCAUCACAUGCAUGCAAACCCUAGAUUUAGUAGACACGUGACAUCAUCUCCAUGCAUGCAUAAUAUAUAUUAUAUUAUAUUAUAUUAUAUUAUAUUAUAUUGUGUUUAUAUUAAU
rnacentral:lncRNA from 1 species